rnacentral:rRNA from 2 species
AGAGUUUGAUCCUGGCUCAGAACGAACGCUGGCGGCAGGCUUAACACAUGCAAGUCGAACGGGCACCUUCGGGUGUCAGUGGCAGACGGGUGAGUAACACGUGGGAACGUACCCUUCGGUUCGGAACAACUCAGGGAAACUUGAGCUAAUACCGGAUACGCCCUUCGGGGGAAAGAUUUAUCGCCGAUGGAUCGGCCCGCGUCUGAUUAGCUAGUUGGUGAGGUAAUGGCUCACCAAGGCGACGAUCAGUAGCUGGUCUGAGAGGAUGAUCAGCCACACUGGGACUGAGACACGGCCCAGACUCCUACGGGAGGCAGCAGUGGGGAAUAUUGGACAAUGGGCGAAAGCCUGAUCCAGCCAUGCCGCGUGAGUGAUGAAGGCCUUAGGGUUGUAAAGCUCUUUCGACGGGGACGAUAAUGACGGUACCCGUAGAAGAAGCCCCGGCUAACUUCGUGCCAGCAGCCGCGGUAAUACGAAGGGGGCUAGCGUUGCUCGGAAUCACUGGGCGUAAAGGGCGCGUAGGCGGCCGAUCAAGUCAGGGGUGAAAGCCUGUGGCUCAACCACAGAAUUGCCUUUGAUACUGUUCGGCUCGAGACCGGAAGAGGUUGGUGGAACUGCGAGUGUAGAGGUGAAAUUCGUAGAUAUUCGCAAGAACACCAGUGGCGAAGGCGGCCAACUGGUCCGGUUCUGACGCUGAGGCGCGAAAGCGUGGGGAGCAAACAGGAUUAGAUACCCCCGUAGUCC